GCAGCGGUCACAGUUGAUGCCUGUCACACGUGUGUAAUGUCAUCAGCAGGAGAGCUGGUUGCUUAAGUUAGGAUUCAAUUGAACCCGUAGUGAAAUCACCAGGUCUGGUUCAACCUGUAGCUGCUUCAGUACUCGGACAAAGCCCCAGGCUGCGCUUUGGCGCAGCAUCUGUGUGCAGGCAGGAUUUAAUGACCUAUUAGGAGAUGCAACAGCUUGCUGCAAGAGCUGGGUGCUUCACUCUUUAUCACAGGCUUGGGCCAAGUGCAAGGUAAUAACCAGGUUAGUUUACGGAUGUUGGUCAAUUCUACUGUCCUCAGUCAUGUUACAUCCUUUUGUCAACACUCAGCUAGUUUUGGGGCAGGAGCUGUGAUACUCAGACCUAACCUUCCCCGCGGAAAUGCAUGUGAAGGUCAAGGCUGUGCUACCGUCGCAGCUCUGCCGUGCAUGUCAAACUGUGUUGUGGUGGUGUUGGAGCCAAAGCCUCCAGCGGGCUGUGGCCCUUACUUCUGGCUGCUCUGUUAUCAUUCCAUCUCUCUUGGAUAACAAACCUGUUACGGGAAUUACUGGGGAGAAGCCAGAAGCAGGCUGCGGUUUUGGAAACAACGAUGCUCGCUGUGGCUGCUGCUUCUAAGGAGUUACAAACCGCACCCAGCGCUGCCUGGGGCAGCAGUAUUCCUUGUGCUUUCCCUGGUCUUCUGCACGUCUCUGCAGUUCCCAGCUGGGAUCUAGAGCCGGUGCUGCACUUCCCUCCAGCGAGACCCCCAUCGGAAUCAGUGCUGCUUGGAGAAAUGCCAUGUCUGGAGAUGGGAGGACUUGGGAAGCCGUGCUCCAGGUGUGCCGGGAUGCCUUUCAGCCUUUAAAAAGCUGGAUUUUUGCAUCUGUUCAGCUCUGAAGUGUACAAAACACAGCUUGCAGGAUGAGGCAGCAGGAAUCUGUGGCAUCUGCUCGCAGUUCCAAGUCUUAGGCUUUCCCACAGCUGGGAGCAGCCAGCCGGGGACACUCCUCGAUGUACAACCGCAUUCUGGGAAGGAAGCGUAAAUCAUGCCAGGCUCUGUCGGUCAGAACUGGGUUCUGUGCUGCCACCACACCACCACACGUGGUUUUCCUCUGCCGCUGCCCAGCUUGGUCUGCAAGCGCUUGCUGUCUCCUGAGAGCACUGGCUGUGAGCUUCAGGGGCAGGCUGAGCGGUUGUGGGAGCUCUGCAGGGCCUGCAGCUGCUCCGUGCGUACACAAUGAAUGCCAAGGCAUUAGUGGGAGGCGUGUAACUACAAGCAGUUGUAGUUCCAGGAACUUCAGCCGUGUCCCUCCAGGGUUGGAUGUGGGGGGAGAAGGGGAAGGUGAGAAUAAACCGACAGCAAAUAAUAUUCAAAGCAGGCUUCUGGCUCACAGUCUCGAUUUGCCAUACGAAUGUUAUAUGAAGGACUUUGUGGGAAGGCACCUCCACCUCGUGAAGCUCACUGAAAAGUUUCCUUAUUGCAAAUCCAGCCUGUGCCUCUUGAAGUUUGGGGUGGCACGUGGGGGUUUCCAGGGAACGGUGUUCUUUCUUUUCACUGUCUUGUAAGAUAUUCUAGCUCCUCCAGUGCUCCAGGAGCAGCCAGCCGUGCCUGGGGAAUGUCCGUGUGUGCAGGAGCUUUGCAGCCUUAUUUGGGAAGCUGCUUCCCAGGCAGAGGUCAGCACUCUAAUGGCACUUACAUCCUUCUGGUUGAGCAAUAUUGAUCUCCCUCUAAGAACUUCACUCUUAGCCAAUCUGUCCAUGAAAUGUAGAGCCCAGGCUCUGCAAACCCUACAGAGGCAAUGAUGGUGUCUCCAAAAUGUGGGCCUAACUUUGCUAUCAAGGUUUGGUGCAAGUUCUGAGGAGGCUUUGGCAUCGCUGAGUCUUCCAAGAGCCAGUCAAGUUUUCAGGGCAAUACACAAAGUACCUGUUCAUGCUGAUACCAGAAUGUUCCCAGCAGCUAAGUAGGUUUUGUUGGAUGCAUAAUGCUGGGUUUGGGUUGAAGUCUAGCUUUUGUGGCUAAGGAUCAAUCUGCUAAUUAUGAAAUACAAUGCUAGGAUCUUUCUGCAGUCUCACUGUAAGGAGAUGUAAUUUGUAAUGGCCACGUUCAUCUUACAGUCACCCUAAGUAAAUAAUAUGUUCUGGA